CCUACGGGAGGCUGCAGUCGAGGAUCUUCGGCAAUGGGCGCAAGCCUGACCGAGCGACGCCGCGUGUGCGAUGAAGGCCUUCGGGUUGUAAAGCACUGUCGAGGGGGAGGCCUAUCCCUGGAGGAAGCACGGGCUAAGUUCGUGCCAGCAGCCGCGGUAAGACGAACCGUGCGAACGUUGUUCGGAAUCACUGGGCUUAAAGGGCGCGUAGGCGGCGCGUCAAGUCGGGGGUGAAAGCGUUCGGCUCAACCGGACCAGGGCCCCCGAUACUGACACGCUCGAGGGAGGCAGGGGCCGACGGAACUUCCGGUGGAGCGGUGAAAUGCGUUGAUAUCGGAAGGAACGCCGGUGGCGAAAGCGGUCGGCUGGCCCUUCUGACGCUGAGGCGCGAAAGCCAGGGGAGCGAACGGGAUUAGAUACCCUUGUAGUC
rnacentral:rRNA from 1 species